rnacentral:rRNA from 1 species
UACAGAGGUCCCAAGCGUUGUUCGGAUUCAUUGGGCGUAAAGGGUGCGUAGGUGGCGCCGUAAGUGGGGUGUGAAAUUUCGGAGCUUAACUCCGAAACUGCAUUCCAUACUGCGGUGCUUGAGGACUGGAGAGGAGACUGGAAUUCAUGGUGUAGCAGUGAAAUGCGUAGAGAUCAUGAGGAAGACCAGUGGCGAAGGCGGGUCUCUGGACCGAGACUGACGCUGAGGCGCGAAAGCGUGGGGAGCGAACAGG